UACGGGGGGGGCAAGCGUUGUUCGGAAUUACUGGGCGUAAAGGGCUUGUAGGUGGCCAACUAAGUCAGACGUGAAAUCCCUCAGCUUAACUGGGGAACUGCGUCUGAUACUGGAUGGCUUGAGUUUGGGAGAGGGAUGCGGAAUUCCAGGUGUAGCGGUGAAAUGCGUAGAUAUCUGGAGGAACACCGGUGGCGAAGGUGGCAUCCUGGACCAACACUGACACUGAGGAGCGAAAGCCAGGGGAGCAAACGGG
rnacentral:rRNA from 1 species